UCAUCAGAGGCACCAGCCGGUCUGCAGGCAAGGCCCGCGCCGCACUAUGCCCGCGCCACAGUGGUUGCCCACUGUCGCCGGGAGGCCACCCGCCGGUGGUCCUGGGCCCGGGCCGUGUCGUCCAGCACUACGAGGCAGCCUCAAGUCGGCCCCUCCGGGAAGAGCCGCUGGUCAUUAGCCGCCCCCGGGUUUUCAGCCCCCGACGACAGCAGGCGCGCGGCUCCCAUCUCGGCUCCUUGGUUUGCAGCUCAGGUCCCAGGAGCAAGGGGGCGCCUCCCCACCAGGGCGCUCGCUUCGUGGCAGGCUCGGGGGUAGUGAACCAGGCCGAGCGGCGCCGCCAGAGGCCGCAGCUGAAGCCCGGCCGACGUUCUGAAGCCUCUGCGGACCGUCUGAGGAGACGCCCGGCCCGCCCCGCCACCGUCGGGGAGCUCCGGGAGUGCCAUCUUCAUUCCCGUCUCGGCCUAGGACUCCUUGAACUCUUGAGUCUUCUGCGCCCCCAGCAACCGUGAGCGCCCGAGUGGCACCACGCAGCCCCAAGGGCAAGACCUCUGCGGGCCCUGGGGUGCCAGAGCUCCGGCCUGCCCAGAAGAGCAGUGACGGGGGCGCCGCCAUCUUGGUGGCAGCACAGAAGGAACGCCGGGACCGUCGUCGCCCCCCAGACCGCUCAGAGCCUGCCUCCUACGCGACCUGGGACACAGCAGUGCCCAUCUUGAAAUGCUGUAAUGAACACAGAAUGAGUUAAUGUAUGUGAAGAACCGAAAACAGUUCCUGGCAUGCAAUAAAUACUCAGUAAUCAGCAUAUCAGCGGCCCAACUCUGGAAUUCUAGAAUAACUUUGAGUCAACAUGGGAAAUUUGGAGAAAAUGUUUGCAGCAAUGCCACAAACACACAUACAACUCAAUAUGCAAAUGAAGCCAGUCUUAGGUUUUACCCAAGCAACUCCCGUGAACCAACAUUUGUAGCUAGCAGACCUGCUUUGCCUGAAAUGUGAAAAGAAGUUCUUUAGAGAGAAGAAAAGUAAUAUAGAUUAGAAAUUUGGAGCUACAUAAAGAGAGGAAGAACAUCAAAGAAGAA